UACGAAGGGUGCAAGCGUUAAUCGGAAUUACUGGGCGUAAAGCGUGCGUAGGUGGUCUUUUAAGUCCGUUGUGAAGCCCUGGGCUCAACCUGGGAAUGGCAGUGGAUACUGGAAGGCUGGAGUGCGGUAGAGGAGGGUGGAAUUCCCGGUGUAGCGGUGAAAUGCGUAGAGAUCGGGAGGAACAUAGUGGCGAAGGCGCCCUCGUGGACCAGCACUGACGCUGA
rnacentral:rRNA from 1 species